UCUAGUGGCGAACGGGUGAGUAACGCGUAAGCAAUCUGCCCCUAAGACGAGGAUAACAGUUGGAAACGACUGCUAAGACUGGAUAGGAGACAAGAAGGCAUCUUCUUGUUUUUAAAAGACCUAGCAAUAGGUAUGCUUAGGGAGGAGCUUGCGUCACAUUAGUUAGUUGGUGGGGCAAAGGCCUACCAAGACUAUGAUGUGUAGCCGGGCUGAGAGGUUGAACGGCCACAUUGGGACUGAGACACGGCCCAAACUCCUACGGGAGGCAGCAGUAGGAAAUUUUCGGCAAUGGAGGAAACUCUGACCGAGCAACGCCGCGUGAACGAUGAAGUAUUUCGGUACGUAAAGUUCUUUUAUUAGGGAAGAAUAAAUGAUGGAAAAAUCAUUCUGACGGUACCUAAUGAAUAAGCCCCGGCAAACUAUGUGCCAGCAGCCGCGGUAAUACAUAGGGGGCAAGCGUUAUCCGGAAUUAUUGGGCGUAAAGGGUGCGUAGGCGGUUAAAUAAGUUUAUGGUCUAAGUGCAAUGCUCAACAUUGUGAUGCUAUAAAAACUGUUUAGCUAGAGUAAGAUAGAGGCAAGUGGAAUUCCAUGUGUAGUGGUAAAAUGCGUAAAUAUAUGGAGGAACACCAGUAGCGAAAGCGGCUUGCUGGGUCUUUACUGACGCUGAGGCACGAAAGCGUGGGGAGCAAACAGGAUUAGAUACCCUGGUAGUCCACGCCGUAAACGAUGAGUACUAAGUGUCGGGGUAAAACUCGGUACUGAAGUUAACACAUUAAGUACUCCGCCUGAGUAGUACGUACGCAAGUAUGAAACUUAAAGGAAUUGACGGGACUCCGCACAAGCGGUGGAUCAUGUUGUUUAAUUCGAAGAUACACGAAAAAUCUUACCAGGUCUUGACAUACUCUGCAAAGCUAUAGAAAUAUAGUGGAGGUUAUCAGGGAUACAGGUGGUGCAUGGUUGUCGUCAGUUCGUGUCGUGAGAUGUUGGGUUAAGUCCCGCAACGAGCGCAACCCUUAUUGUUAGUUACCAGCACGUAAUGGUGGGGACUUUAGCAAGACUGCCAGUGAUAAAUUGGAGGAAGGUGGGGACGACGUCAAAUCAUCAUGCCCCUUAUGACCUGGGCUACAAACGUGAUACAAUGGCUGUUACAAAGGGUAGCUGAAGCGCAAGUUUUUGGCGAAUCUCAAAAAAACAGUCUCAGUUCGGAUUGAAGUCUGCAACUCGACUUCAUGAAGUUGGAAUCGCUAGUAAUCGCGAAUCAGCAUGUCGCGGUGAAUACGUUCUCGGGGUUUGUACACACCGCCCGUCAAACCACGAAAGUUGGUAAUACCCAAAGCCGGUGGCCUAACUUCGCAAGAAGAGGGAACCGUCUAAGGUAGGGUCGAUGAUUGGGGUUAAG
rnacentral:rRNA from 1 species